UCUAUCUAUCCAUCUAUCUAUCUAUCUAUCUAUCUAUGGAGAUAGAUGAUAGAUAGAUAGAUGAUAGAUAGA